AGGAUUCAUCAUAAUUAUCGACUGAUUCUAUUAGACUUGCUAGAUCACCAACCCCAGCACGGACUAAUCUCUCAUUCCAUCUUCUAGAGAACCUUGGAUAACUGAUCAGAUGGUUUCGUGUGUUCUUAGACUUUAUGAGAAGUCAUGUCCUCUGAUGAAAAAGGACAAUGGCGUAAACCCGAUGGCUGCUACCCUUGAAUAUCCCUUUUUAGUUGCUAAAACUAGCUAACUAACUAGCUAAAACGGGCCCUCUUGAUUUGAGAGGUAACUCCUUUGCUACUUUUAAUGGACUUCAUCCAAUUGGUAAAAGCUGACGAGAGAAUGCUGUGAUUCAAGACUGAUAGAUUGUGUAGUUGUUAGAUCAAUCACAAGUGCAUAUCUGGGCUCCCUUCUUUUCUGUGGUCUCCCUGGCUACAGUCAAUUAAGGCAGUGUCUCCCCCUGUCUUCAUUGACUACCUGUGCAAGUUUUAGAAGCAGUUUAUCACCCAAAUGAAACAAAAAGAGUUUGUUAGGCUUGUUUUAUUUGGGUAUAAUUGGUUUUAAAACUUGCACAGAAAAACAAUUGUCUUGUACCGGACGCUUUGUUUAUUAAAUACAAACCAUUUUUAUGAUAAA